rnacentral:rRNA from 1 species
CCUACGGGCGGCAGCAGUGGGGGAUAUUGCACAAUGGGGGAAACCCUGAUGCAGCGACGCCGCGUGAGUGAAGAAGUAUUUCGGGAUGUAAAGCUCUAUCAGCAGGGACGAAAAUGACAGUACCUGACCAAGAAGCCCCGGCUAACUACGUGCCAGCAGCCGCGGUAAUACGUAGGGGGCAAGCGUUAUCCGGAUUUACUGGGUGUAAAGGGAGCGUAGACGGUUAUGUAAGUCUGGAGUGAAAGCCCGGGGCUCAACCCCGGGACUGCUUUGGAAACUGUGUAACUGGAGUACAGGAGGGGCAGACGGAAUUCCUGGUGUAGCGGUGAAAUGCGUAGAUAUCAGGAGGAACACCGGCGGCGAAGGCGGUCUGCUGGACUGAAACUGACGUUGAGGCUCGAAAGCGUGGGGAGCAAACAGGAUUAGAUACCCUUGUAGUC